GCAAAAUCUACAAGGUUAACAUCAGUUGAAAGUUAAUAUGUGUAUACCAAAGGGUAUUUCAAAAUAAAUGCAAAAUCAAGGCAGAAAUACCAUUUUCCAUUUUUUUGAAAAGUCAUAUAAACUUAAUUUCUGUCAAGAGACUUAAGUCUACUGAUGGCAGUCACUGUGUUCAUUGUUAUUCCAGUUCUUUAGUAAUUCUGUUUAAACUGUGAUUUUUUUAUUGUUUUGGUGCAAUAUUUUAUUAUCCUUUAACCUCAGGAUAUUCAGACCAACAAGAUUGUGUUGCUGCUAAAAGACUGAGCAGUGUUUUUACUGUCCCCCUGUCCCCUCCUAGUCACAGUCACAUGUUUGCUUGUUUUUACUUUAAUCUGUUGGUUUUGUGAGCUGAGAGCAUUUCUGUACACUAAGUAGAAGGGAGGUAGGGGUUCCCAUGAUAGAGAUUUUGGACCAGCCCAGUACUUUGGUUUUCUCCAUGUCCUGAGGGUUAGAUCUGGAAACCCUGGUGCUUUCCAUGCAGAAUACUGUAGGACGAUUAGCUUUUCUUUCAGUCAGUAUAUUCCGUUAGAAAUAGAAAAGUUUUAAGGUUAAAUUUUGUAUGUAAAAAUUAGCUGGACAUUUGAUCAGGGAUUUUUAUACAAACAUUAGGUAAAUGUACGCUUUUCACCCUUGGGUAUACCUCUCUUCUCUGUAAUCACAUAAGCAUCUUAAGCCGUUAUUUCAUCUUUUAAGCCACUGAAUGAAAAUCACAAUACAAACUGUUUUACCAAUAAUUGUGGUACUGAAAUUGUCACAAAUCUUUUUUCCCUGCUUUGGUUUUUUGGUGAUCUUUUAUUUUGCUUUGUUUUUGUGUGUUAGCUAUGUGCUGUCUAAACAGUUUUACUUUAAAAAAAGAUCACCUUCAGCUAUUUCUUGACCUCUGAGUUGCAGUUUACAUGUUUUAUCAAGACAUUUUCCAUCUCCAUGAUACCAAAACAAAGUAAAAGAAACAAAACAAAAUGGUAUGGAGGAAGAGAAAGUUUAAUUAUCUAUCUGGCUGCAAGUAGAAAAGCAACUGCUUACUGGAAUCCUUCAGUAGGAUCGUUUUGUCACCUUUUUUAAAGAAAUGAAGUGCACCUACCAAAUUAAAACAAAGCUGAUUUUUUAGCACUUACGAGAAUAGCUAAAAGGUAUGAUUUGCCUUAUUGAAUUGAUAUUGGUAUGUCUGACCUUAAGCAGUAGGUUGAAACUGCAUACCUUUAUAUAAUCAAAUUAUUUGAUGAAGGUAGAAGAUUCUACAUUGGAACAGAGAAUACUUGGGAAUGAAGGUAAUAAUUUAGCUGCUAUUUGCUUGUUUAUUCUCCUCUUGCUUAGUUUGCAAAGAAACUGUGGCCUUAGAAUUUUCUUUUUGAUGCAAAAAUUUUGAAAUUGAGAAAGUGCAUCUUUUGGCACACAAAAUUCUUCCAUGGGCAGAACUUUACUUUCAUGUUUUUGUUUUGCACAAUAAGAAACUCAAUAGGCAGGGGUUAUGUUUUUGAUAAGUUAACUAUGAAAGCUUUUUAUUUUUAUUAUAAAAAUGUAACAGUUUAACCCGGGGGGGGGUGGGGAGAUUGUAUUUUGUACUGUUGUCUGAACCCCAUGGGUUCCUUUUGUUAAUAAAAUGAUUACACUG
ensembl:lncRNA